GACGAACGCUGGCGGCGUGCUUAACACAUGCAAGUCGAACGGAAAGGCCCUGCUUUUGUGGGGUGCUCGAGUGGCGAACGGGUGAGUAACACGUGAGUAUCCUGCCCUUGACUUUGGGAUAACUUCAGGAAACUGGGGCUAAUACCGGAUAGGAGCUCCUGCUGCAUGGUGGGGGUUGGAAAGUUUCGGCGGUUGGGGAUGGACUCGCGGCUUAUCAGCUUGUUGGUGGGGUAGUGGCUUACCAAGGCUUUGACGGGUAGCCGGCCUGAGAGGGUGACCGGCGACAUGGGGACUGAGAUACGGCCCAGACUCCUACGGGAGGCAGCAGUGGGGAAUAUUGCACAAUGGGCGGAAGCCUGAUGCAGCAACGCCGCGUGCGGGAUGACGGCCUUCGGGUUGUAAACCGCUUUCGCCUGUGACGAAGCGUGAGUGACGGUAAUGGGUAAAGAAGCACCGGCUAACUACGUG
rnacentral:rRNA from 1 species